rnacentral:sRNA from 1 species
GAUCCUAUCUUCCGUCCCGAAGCCGUCCUUGAUCCAGCCC